GAUGAGAUGCUGCAACCCCAUUGCUUUGCUUGGUGCUUCUUUUAGGUCUGUGGUGUUUAGGGUUAUUGUCUUCAGGGCUUGGAAUGUGUUCGUCUUGUGUACCAUGUCACCGUCGUAGAAGUGCAUCUUUUCUUCCUUCGCCUGAGAACUACAUGUUGCUGAUCAGGUUAUGAGUACGUACCGGUCGAACAAAUGCAUAAAAUGAAUCAUAACCAAACGACUAAUUUAAAGAAGUUGCUCAGUCAUAAAACGAAAUAGCUUUGCAACCAUUCGUGUUGAUGCAAUCACUCAAAGUAUGGUAAAAAGAAUGUGAAACUGGAUGGACAAAAAAUAUAGUGUAACAAAACCAAGUCUUUUUUAGAGCGUAAUCUAAUGUUAAAGAGUAUAAGCUUUGAUACCAUAAACGGGUUAUAAAUUGACUCACACUUAGCUUAUUUCUAGACUCAUGAAAAAACUGACUUGUAGACUUAUGGCUUAUUUCGAGACUAUUUUUAAAAUACAUAUUUUUAAAUGAUUAAAAUUUUGUUUUUUUAAUUAAAUAAUGUUAAUUUGUUUUGGCAUUAAAGAUUGGUAAUUUUGUUCUCACAUUUGGCAAAAACAUGAAAGAGUUCAUAUCACCCACCUCAAGCGCUUUGGAUAGAUUGGACGCUACUUGGCACUGAUCACUGAUGCGAGUCUCAUAUACCCCCUCACUUUUGCUAGGACUAUGACAUAGUAGGGGGUGGUGGAGAAGAAGAAGGCCCAUUAAAGAGUAGUACUUUUUUGAGCUGAGAUCCGUCCAUGCACCUCCACAGUUAUUGCCUCCUCCUGGAAAGCCCUACCAGAAGACAAUUAAGCAUGAGCAGAAAUAAGACGUUUGACACAAUGCCCGUACCUGCUUGCUAGCCCCCCACGGAUCCCUAAUUCUGUCAGAUGAGCUUCCAGGACAGGUGAUUUCCGGGGUGGAUGGAACACGGGGAUAGGAGAUACUAAGCAUGUAAACACCGAACUCAUAAUCAAACAAGAAAAGUCGAUCAUAUCAUACCACAUCUACUUUAGAGAUUCCAAUAGCUUCAGUAUACAUUGCCGUAAAGUCACAAUGGUCAUCUGUGUUGGGUUGCAGGCUCUUCAUGCAUCUGACACUAAACCUGCCCAUUGGAGGAAGGGGAAGCUCCAGCU
rnacentral:lncRNA from 1 species